CAGGGACAAUCAGAUAUUGCCUGUUCAUUCAAAAUUGCUAGUAGAUGAUGAUGUGGGUCUCGAUUGACGCCUUUCUGGUACGCGUCUUUUAUCCUCUAUUUAGUUUUUCUGCCCUCGAUUGUUGCUAGUGGCACUCUCCCUCGAUGAUACUGUAUGAUAGUUUAGAGUGAAGCUCGUGAAGUGAAAAAUACGCGAGUUAAGGGAUUGGGUUGAGAGGGGCAAGAGAUACACAGCUAAUGACAUAUAUUCUCCAUGUUGAAGGUUUUUGAGUAAAUCAUUCCUCCAAAAAUACGAUUUGAAAACCGAAUAAAAAGUAAAUAUACUUGUAUUGGAUUCAUACUCGAAUCCAAUACUACGUUUCAUCAGGCUACACGUCCAAGUCCAAGUUCGCUUGCUUUUUCUAGCCCUCCCGGAACUCUUUAAGACAUAUUCUAGCAACAUUUUCCAAACACAUUAUGUAUAAG
rnacentral:misc_RNA from 1 species